UCGGAUUCAGUCCAUGGAUCUUAGUGUAUACAUCUCAAUUAAUCAGUUCUUUGGCUUGUCUCCCCACGUGCCACGCUACCACCACGCGUGAAAUGCGCCCGUCCCGGUGCGGGCGACUUGGUGUUUUCGCUGGCGGCCCCCGGCCCCGAGAACCCCGCGGAGCCCACCGUCAGCCGCGCGAGCUUGCCCGCCUCUGCGCCGCCCCGCGGUGGAGGCGGCCGCCGGGGCCCGCCGGGCUCUGCCCUCAGUGCCGAGUCUGUGAGACACUGGCCCCAUUUAGAGCCAGCAGAAGAACAGCAGGCAACUUCUGACAGACUGCUUGGUGAUCCAAGGUACCAAUUGUAUUUAAAUUUCAGUAUCAGUAACGCUGGCUGGCUGGAACCACAUGCAACAAAAGGAAGGAAGGGUAUCAGCAUACAUUUUCCCUCCUUUGACUGCCCUAGGGGCUAGACAUGGAAAGUUUUCUAUGAUCAAGUUAAUUUUUUGCAACUUGAAAUUUUCCUCUUCUUCAAAAUUAAGGCAGCCUAAGAGAGCCAUAUAUUUGGGCCAAUAUAGCAGCAAAUUUAUGAAGUGAAAAAGUGGAGGUUUUCAUGGUGUCAUAAGCUCACCCACACUGUACAUAAAUUUAUUACUUAGAAUGCUCCAGAUUUUAGUUUUAUUAUAGAGCAAACGUGCUAUGAACAAAUUAACUUUGGAUUAUAGAGUUUUUGAAAUUAAAUAGCAGCUCUUAGUGUUUAAGUAUUGACUUUCUUAUCUCGUGUGUGUGUGUGUGUGUGUGUGUGUGUUUUAUAGCACUGUUAUGUCUUGAAAACAAACAACAAACCAGGGUCUUAAAAGCUUCCACAUUUGUACCUAGAUAUGGAAAGUCAGAAACCAUUCAUUUUUAAUUAGGCCAAUGUUUGGAACUGAGAAUUUAGAAAUUCCUUUAAACAAAGUAUUUUAGAUGAUCAUGUUUAAUGCAUAAUGAUACUUAUGUAUCCAGAAGAUUUGAAAUCAAUUAAUGAAGGCAUAGAAGUGGGACUAAAGGUAUUUUUUUAAAGGCAGUUUUCUAAACUUCCCCGCGGAGCUCUGUUUAUCCUGACCUGGCAGAGCUGCUGUAUUUCAAUGCAGGGCUUCUUUUGCAUACAGAAGUACAGACUUGCUGAGCUGAGCCAAAUCUGUCUAUCCAAUUACUGGGUAAGAGAGCUGACUGUAGCUUUAGGCAAAACCUGUAAUCUGUAAAACACAUAGUAUCUGUGGCAGCCUGAUGAAAGGGAAGGACCAAUAGUAUAUAUACGAAGCUAGAGGGAUACACAGGUGGAGUUCCCUCUACAAAGAGCACACUUCAACACUUACACCAAAAAGCAAUGAAACUUACACAGCCUGGAUCAAAAUAUCAUUUGUGUGUCUAUAGCAAUUUUGGUAUAGAAUGGUUUACAAAUGGACAAAUUUUCAGCCUUGUGCUGUGGAUCACUUAACUGAGGAUUGGUUUAAAUGCAUUUAUGACAUUUAAUAAACAUUUGAUUUAAAAGUCUUACUUGCA
rnacentral:lncRNA from 1 species